UACGGGGGGAGCAAGCGUUGUUCGGAUUUACUGGGCGUAAAGGGCGCGUAGGCGGCCACCGCAAGUCGACUGUGAAAUCUCCGGGCUUAACCCGGAAAGGUCAGCCGAUACUGCGGGGCUAGAGUGCAGAAGGGGCAACUGGAAUUCUCGGUGUAGCGGUGAAAUGCGUAGAUAUCGAGAGGAACACCUGCGGCGAAGGCGGGUUGCUGGGCUGACACUGACGCUGAGGCGCGAAAGCGUGGGGAGCAAACGGG
rnacentral:rRNA from 1 species